rnacentral:rRNA from 1 species
UGCCUACGGGGGGCAGCAGUGGGGAAUAUUGCACAAUGGGGGAAACCCUGAUGCAGCGACGCCGCGUGAGUGAAGAAGUAUCUGGGUACGUAAAGCUCUAUCAGCAGGGAAGAAAAAAAGUCUUUGGCUUUGGACGGUACCUGACUAAGAAGCCCCGGCUAACUACGUGCCAGCAGCCGCGGUAAUACGUAGGGGGCAAGCGUUAUCCGGAUUUACUGGGUGUAAAGGGAGCGUAGACGGUGUGGCAAGUCUGAAGUGAAAGCCCGGGGCUCAACCCCGGGACUGCUUUGGAAACUGUCAUGCUG